UUUUUCCCUCCUGAGUACAAAGGAAGACAAUAUUUCCCAGCCUCCUCAAUCUGGUUGGAGCCCAGUGAGGCCACGUGGGAUCAUGUAAGUAGUUACAGCCCAUGGAACAUGGGUGAAAAGGACACAGGCUGCUUUGAGGCCUGGCUUCGAGGCCUGGCCUGGAAAGAUUGUGAAGACACUUUGCUAAAUGUCCCAGAAGGCCUAGUAGCUGGGGCAACAUCCGCCCUCCAUCUGUGGAUUCCGCCCAGCCUGCAAGUGAGACACUUACCUAUUGACCUCAGGAAACCAGCCAGGGACUAGAAAGCUGACACAAUAUUGCAUGGCUGUCAAGAACAGGAGCUUCUCGAUCCUGCAAGCUUUGCACCUUAUCCUCCUGUAUGAUAACUGGUAAUGAACUUUGCCCUGGAAUGCAACUUGCAUCACAGCAGCAACUCCUUCCAGGAGUUGCUCUUUAUGUAGCCUUCCCGCUCUGUGUCACUGGUGGGCACCAAGGUCGUUUGCAUUUCCUGCCCUUCCUUCUCAACUUAAAACCCCUGAAGUUCCUGGAAGCAGGAAGGACUGGGUGGGGAUUUUCAGGCAGGGGUGAGCUGUUUUUUCACCAGUUUUCCCCUGAGAGACGAAGUCUUCCGCAACCACUCAAUAUUUCUGAACCCCACCACCAACCCAGGCCAUGUUCUGAAAAUUCCAUUUUGAAAGAAAAGCAGUUGAAUGGCAGGAGGCUUUAGCCACCUAAAAUGUAAGAAGCGUGAGAAGAAAAUGUUUUAAGGAUUAUAGUGAGCCAGGUAGUUUUACUUUGCUUCACACUUUGUUUGCUUUAUUUUGCUUUACAUUUUAUUUGCUUCACAACAAUCCACUGCAGUACCCCCAUUUCACAGUUGAGACGUCUGAGAUCUGGGAUAAGCAGCUUGCCCAGGGUUCUACAGAUAGUUAUGUGGCAGAGCAGAUAGAGCAUUCACUCUUCUAUAGUGU